GACGAACCGUGCGAACGUUGUUCGGAAUCACUGGGCUUAAAGGGCGCGUAGGCGGGCAUUCAAGUCGGUGGUGAAAUCCUCCAGCUUAACUGGAGAAGAGCUGUCGAUACUGGAUGUCUCGAGGGGUGCAGGGGUCUGCGGAACUUCGGGUGGAGCGGUGAAAUGCGUAGAGAUCCGAAGGAACGCCGGUGGCGAAAGCGGCGGACUUGGCACCUUCUGACGCUGAGGCGCGAAAGCCAGGGGAGCAAACGGG
rnacentral:rRNA from 1 species